rnacentral:rRNA from 1 species
UGCUGUGGGGAAUUUUGGACAAUGGGGGCAACCCUGAUCCAGCAAUGCCGCGUGUGUGAAGAAGGCCUUCGGGUUGUAAAGCACUUUUGUCCGGAAAGAAAUCGCGCUGGUUAAUACCUGGCGUGGAUGACGGUACCGGAAGAAUAAGCACCGGCUAACUACGUGCCAGCAGCCGCGGUAAUACGUAGGGUGCGAGCGUUAAUCGGAAUUACUGGGCGUAAAGCGUGCGCAGGCGGUUUUGUAAGACAGGCGUGAAAUCCCCGGGCUUAACCUGGGAAUUGCGCUUGUGACUGCAAGGCUAGAGUGCGUCAGAGGGGGGUAGAAUUCCACGUGUAGCAGUGAAAUGCGUAGAGAUGUGGAGGAAUACCGAUGGCGAAGGCAGCCCCCUGGGACGUGACUGACGCUCAUGCACGAAAGCGUAGGGAGCAAAACAGGAAUUAGA